UUAAACUUCUCUGUGUGGAGCUGGUGGUGAAGUUUGAGAGACUCAUGCAGAUGUGAGUGAUAACCCAUGGCCAUCAUAAGGCAAGAGUCACGUGCCUCCAGACAUCUUCCAAAUGGACUGAGGAAAGGAAGAGGACUGAAGUCAUCUUGGAAGGCUUAUUCCAAAUUCAUCUCUACUUUGCUGUGAAAGGAAUAAACGGAGCAUAUGAUGCCUGGAUCCUAAUCUCAGAGCACUCUAUCUAACCAGUGAUGAAUCACAAAGCUGAAACAACAAUGAAUACGAGACAGACCGGCAAGAAUAAAACCAUCAUCUCAAUACUUGGAAAAAUAAAGAAGACAACAUAGAAAAUUGCAUCAUAGUUUAAAAAACAUCAAGCACUGUACACAGAUAUUGCUGAUUCAAUAGGCAUUGUUUCUGUGAGAAGUCUCAGAAGAAAAAGGUUCUAUGAGAGAUGCUUUGAGCUGUAAUAGUUGUGACCUAAUUGUAAUGAAUUUAUCCGAAGGCUACUCAGCACCUUUCCAUGGCUCUGAAUCUCCAUGGGCAUGGAGAAAGCCAUGUAAAGUGGAUCUGUGUUAAGGCUCCUUCUGACAUCAGUAGGUAUGAGAUAGACUCAUUGUGGUUAGAAAGGACCCUUCAGAUAAUAAGCACCAACCACCAGCAUAACACUACCGAGUCCAUAAAGCCAAACUAAUUUUUUGUAUCAUAAUGUCAGCGUUGCACUGUCCACUUUUCUACCUGCUUUCUCUCAUGUUGUUCAUGACACUAAUUUGCCACCUUUCCUUUAACAUUCAGAUGUGAACACUUUGCAAGAGGGCACAAGUUUUGCAUUUUGAGCCAUUUGCACAGACUUUGCAAAGAUACAACAGCUUAGCACUAGUCUUAGGAGCUCUUUGUGUGACCAACCUGUCCAUAUUGUACUGGCUGUCAGCUCAGCUUUGAGACUGAGGAUUAGAAAAUUGUACCAAAAAGAUGGGUGAUUGUUGGGUGAUGGUUUUUUAGUUGACAAAUAUAGAUAAUUCAUUGCCCAGGCAACUUGAGUUGAUGGAAUCAAACCAUACUUUUUGCAAAGGAUGUGGUGGAUUUACUUAUUCCUGGUUCUGUGUUUGAUUUACUACCACAUGAUUUCAUUAAAUAAGAACUUCGCAUGAGGAUUCCUGCCAAACAACUUCAGGCAAGGCCCGUAUUCCACAAAUCCCUAAAUUUGAGGGUGGUGGGUGGGGGAAUCAUGGUAUUUUUCUAGCAGAUGUCUGUGCUGCCUGUGGACUAGAGUUUGGGGUGGUUUGUUAUUACCGCUGUUGCUCUAAAGCCCUUGUAAAAUGAUGCUUAUUUUCCUCCCAUUAGAUAAUGAAUUUGAAUUUUUCCAUCCAGUAAAGAUGAUGAUAAC
rnacentral:lncRNA from 7 species